rnacentral:rRNA from 1 species
UGGGGAAUAUUGGACAAUGGGCGCAAGCCUGAUCCAGCCAUGCCGCGUGAGUGAUGAAGGCCCUAGGGUUGUAAAGCUCUUUCACCGGUGAAGAUAAUGACGGUAACCGGAGAAGAAGCCCCGGCUACCAUCGUGCCAGCAGCCGCGGUAAUACGAAGGGGGCUAGCGUUGUUCGGAUUUACUGGGCGUAAAGCGUACGUAGGCGGACUUUUAAGUCAGGGGUGAAAUCCCGGGGCUCAACCCCGGAACUGCCUUUGAUACUGGAAGUCUUGAGUAUGGUAGAGGUGAGUGGAAUUCCGAGUGUAGAGGUGAAAUUCGUAGAUAUUCGGAGAAACACCAGUGGCGAAGGCGGCUCACUGGACCAUUACUGACGCUGAGGUGCGAAAGCGUGGGGAGCAAACAGG